UCGGCCCGUCGUCCAGGAUCAUGCGGAUCUUGCCGUUCAGGCUGGCGAGCACAUGUUCGGCCCGCGUCGGGCUGAUC
rnacentral:tRNA from 1 species